rnacentral:lncRNA from 1 species
UGGAUCAUGUGAAAGGGCUACGUCUCAAUCUCUCAGGCAUCCGCACCGCCGUGCUGCUUACAGGGAGGUGGCGCUCGCUGGGAGGCGGCAGCGCGACGCUCGCAAGGAGGCAACGCGAUACCUGUAGGCGGCCUCGUUGAGACGUUGUCCCUAUCGUGGAGGUCUUCCUCUCGACCCAGCAGCCGUAGCCCAGCUGUAGCCCAACUCAGAUCUCUGCUGUAACGUCAUCCAAUAGGUGCGGUUCUUUCUAGGAGGAAAGCUUCAGGUUAAUCUCUCCAUUUAAGCAGCUACCUGCCAUCACCUGCUCUCGGUGCUACUUUAAUUAUUGUUUGAGUCUAUUUUAGAUUAAUUUUAGUUUGAAUGUUGAUAGCUCUUACUCUUGGUGCUACUUUCAUUACUGUUUCAGUCUGCUCGAUAUGUAAGAUAAUUAACUAGACUCUAUUUCAACUAUGUCCCAAGCUUUUAGUUUAUGAUGCACAAGAGCUUACAAAUGCAGAAAGUAUAAUGCCUUUGCAGAUCAGUUUUGGCUUUUGCUGUUCAGUGUAGGUUGUUUUUGUCCCCUGCCCAAGAUAUUAUUGUAUAUUGUUUUCCUAAUUUGGUUGAAAUCAACUCAGUAUAAGGACAUACCAUCAUGUGCCAAAUUAAUUGAUCGUAAAUAUUAUAAAAAAAUGUAUCACUAAAAACUGAUCGUAAAUAUAUGGAUAGCUAAUUGUACAUGUUCUAGAGUUAAAUAUUGUUAUAAGCAUGUUGUUGUGUGUGUAUAAAUUAUAACCGAUACAAUUUCAAUUGAAUGAUUUCAAUUGGUAAUUUUGCAGCCUAGGCCAUGGAGGGGGUUUCAUCAAUUGACGAGGCUAUCUCAACUGAUGCUACUGCAUUUGUGAAUUCAGGCAAAACACUAACUCUGAAUCAAUUAACUCUGCAUUUGUCCAGGCUAAGGAGUUCCUUGGUGCUUCCGGUGACAAGCGAAAGGAAGUCAUCUGCAGUAUGGAGGAGGCAGAUAAGCUCAGUGGUUCUGCUGCAAGGUAAACUGCCUGUAUAUAAAUAUCCUUAUGUUGUAAAGCACCAUUUACAAUGGCUAUCCGGUGAUUCUCUUUCUGUUGAUUCUCUGCAUUUGUCCAGGCUAAGGAGUUCCUUGGUGCUUCCGGUGAUUCUCUUUCUGUUGUAAAGCAGCUAUCCUGCGAGUGCCUCUACACAUUGAGGAGUCCUGCCUUCACUCGUUGAGGAGUCUUGCCGAGCAACAUUGUUAAGUUCAGUUAUCUGAAUUCAGUUGGAUCAUGGCUGUCGAUAAACAUUUUAGUAUAAUGGAUAUUGUAGUCCUCCUGCGAGCAGUUUCUCUUCGUGCAUGGAGCGUCUUUGCUUGUGAGUUGAUAAACAUUUUAGUAUAAUGGAGGAUACUAAUUUCAUGGUUGCACUUUGUGGUUGUUUUCUAUCAUUUGUUUGUGAGCCCAUAGAUUAUACUAAUUCAUUAGCUUAUGGUGGUGCUUGCUUGUAUAUGAAGGCCCUUGGAUUGGCCCGUGGAUUUUAAAAGGAUCGAGGCGGAUUAGGAUGCCGGGGCAUUAAAAAACGGAUUGAAUUGAGUUGUAUCAAAUCAAUUUGGAUUUAAGUAGGGCUGGGUUCACUUUUUAAACUUAUAGGAUUGAAGUGGGGUUGGGGCCGGAUUGUGACCCAUUACCAGGCUUACUGUUGCUACUUGGUGAUGUGUCUUCCCGCUCUAGCUCUACCUCUACGGCGAACAACAGCUCGAUCCAGACUGUUACAACUAUAAAUUAUAUAGAUAAAAUCUAGUACAGAUUAAAGUAAAUCGAACAUACUGAGCCUAGGUGCCAGUGCCACCCAAUCGGUGCCAAUUGCCAACGUAUCAGCGUCGUGGAAUCUGGUGUCCACGCAGCGGCGACGUCCAGGCCCAC